ACAUUGGAGAACUAUCAAAUUCCUAGAGCAGCCUGUAAAAUACUACCAGGAGAUUUUAUACAACAUCUAUUUGGAAUAGCGUGUGAUCAGCAAGAAAGUAAUCUGGAACACUGAAAUAUCCAGCCUAAUUUUUUUUUUUUAAAUAUCAGGGCAGUCCAGAAGAACAGAAGCAAACAAGGAGUUAUCUGGAGGGUCUGAAUGACAAUUCUGGACGCAUGCAUUUGAGAAACUGACAAAGGGAAAAUGUUCUACCAAACCUCCAAUUUGCAAACAAGGAAGGACUGAAAGCUAAGGGCAGCCCUGGCUGCAGUAACCAUGAGAUAAGGAAAUUUAGGAUCCUAAGAAACAGUAGUGAUAAAUAUAUAUGUAUUCUAAAUAUAUUCCAAAAUGAGUGAUGUACAACACAAUUGCUCGCAACCAGCUGACUGAUACUCCAAUGCUUAGCCAGUACUUGAGAAACAGCUGCAACCUCCAGUCAGCUUCCCACAACUUUACUGUUUUUUCACAUGCUGGCAUAUGAUAUGGAAUGUCCUCUUGGCCAGCUUAUGUUAGCUGUCCUGGUUCUGUUCCUUCCCAGCAACUUGUGUUACUCCAGUCCUCUAACUGGCAAAACAGUACAAAAAGCUGAAAAACUGAGAUGUUCCUGGAUCUGUGCAGUCACUGCUCAGCAACAAAUAAAACACUGAUAUGUUAUCAGCAUUGUUUUUCUCCUAAAGCCAUAAUGGAGCAUCAUAUCAGACACUAUCAGGAAAAUAACUCUGAAGCUAGGACAUCAGGUUAGGGAGUACUGAAACAAAAGAGAAUUUCACAGGUAGAUUGAACAUGAUGGAGAGUACAUAGCAAUGCUGAGAAAUCUGACUGAUAUUACUGCAAGAACAUUCUUGUAAAGGCUACAGAGACUGGGAGAAGUUCUUGAAGACUGGAAGAAAGCAAAUAUGGUUCAUUUCUUCAAGAAAGAACUGCAGACUGAUCUGCCUCACCUUCAUAAUUGCAUGAGUGAUAAAGCAGAUUAUCUUGAAAACAAUUUCCAAACAACAUAUGGAAGAUGAGAAGGCAAAUGGGAGUGAUCAGCAUGGAUUUAUGAAAGACAAAAUGCUCCUGAUCAAUCUGACAGCCUCCUACAAUAAGCUGAUUGGCUUGGUGGGUUAGUUAAAGUAGAUGCUUUGAAAAUAAGGAAAGUAGUAUCAGUAAACAACUGUAAAAGGAAUAAUUUAAGUAGCUCAUAUGGGAAAAAGUUAGUAUUGGAAAAAUCAAGGGUAGUGUAAAAUUAAGGGAUAGAAACUAAAUUCAUGGAGUACUUAUCCUCAUGUCACAAUUCUCUAUAAUCUUUUACAAAAUAUUCUGUGAAAAACAAACAACAACAAAAACAAAAUGAAAUUUCUAAAUUUCUCUAAAUCUCUAAAAUUUCCAAUUCAUAUACUAGUUCUCUAAACUUCAUUUAACUGCAGUUAAAUUAAAUCCUAGAAGUUCUACCUGGCUACAGCAUAAUCUAUGUUUUAUGAGUUGCAGACAGCUAUUUUGUACUGGGAUAUUUUGCUUACUCUGUUUGAAUACUGGCAACAGUUUCUCUAAUAUUAAAAAAUUUAUGUAGUGUAUUUUGUCAUUCAUCUCAAUAGUUUUUUAAUGCACUUGGAUAUUUUCUCUAGUGAUUUGAGAUUUUUCUCAAUUUGAAGAUGUCUACUUCUAAAAUUCAUUAACAUACAUCUUGGUUACUUGUGUGUUAGAAAGUACGUUUUUAUCUUCUUGUUUUACAAGAAUAUUGGCCAGCUUCUCUUUCAGUACACACCAGAAACUUUUUUGAGAAAUAUCCUGUCACUGGAUCAUUACAUAUUUUUUAAUGUACUUUUAUAACUCUUUGUCUUAUUGCUAAAUUGUGUGGUCUUUUGUUCAUGACAGUCUUUAAAAUCUGUUGGGCUUCUUUGUUGCUGCUUUAGGGGUAUUUUUUUGCUAAAUCUGGCUACAGUAAUUAUGAGAUUUUAUAACAUAUAUUUAUGUAUAAAUUUUCUAUAUUUCAUAAUAUUUAAAUAUUUUAAAAGUAAAAUAAAUUAACAAAUAAAUAUUUUAAUUGGAG
ensembl:lncRNA